rnacentral:rRNA from 1 species
AUUGAACGCUGGCGGCAGGCUUAACACAUGCAAGUCGAGCGAGCGGCGGACCGGUGAGUAAUGUCUGGGAAACUGCCUGAUGGAAGGGGAUAACUACUGGACAAGGUAGCUAAUACCGCAUACCAUCAUAUGAUCCCAGAGGGGAUUAGCUAGUAGGUGGGGUAAUGUCUAACCUGGGCGCAGAUCCCUAGCUGGUCUGAGAGGAUAACCAGCAACUCUGCAACUGAGACACGGUCCAGACUACUUCGGUAGUCAACAGUGGGGAAUAUUGCACAAUGGGCGCAAGUCUGAGUCAGCCAUGCCGCGUGUGUGAAGAAGGCCUUCGGGUUGUAAAGCACUGUCAGCGAGGAGGCGUUACUCGCAGAAGAAGCACAGGCUAACUCCGUGCCAGCAGCCGCGGUAAUAC